UACGUAGGGACCAAGCGUUGUUCGGAUUUACUGGGCGUAAAGGGCGCGUAGGCGGCAAUUCAAGUCAGUUGUGAAAUCUCCGAGCUUAACUCGGAACGGUCAACUGAUACUGUUUUGCUAGAGUGCAGAAAGGGCAACCGGAAUUCUUGGUGUAGCGGUGAAAUGCUUAGAUAUGACAUAGAACACCAAUUGCGAAGGCAGCUGGCUACAGGUGGAUUGACACUGAGGCACGAAAGCGUGGGGAUCAAACAGG
rnacentral:rRNA from 1 species